rnacentral:tRNA from 3 species
GGAAAUAGCUCAGUUGGUAGAGCAUAACCUUGCCAAGGUUAGGGUCGCGAGUUCGAGUCUCGUUU